AAUAGAAUACGUAGAACACAGCAUGCCGUUAUGCGAUAUUGUCGAUUCCUAACAUCCGAAAAAUCAGAGAUAAUUUUUUCCCUACAGUUGUACAUUUGUGUGAAAAAUUACGAACGUAAAGUUGUUUGGUGCAUGCACAGUCCUCCCCUCCCCUGCAUUUGCGUGGACAUGCUAGAAAGAUUCACUUUUCCACGGUGAAACUGUAUGAAAUGUAUUAUAAUUUCAUUUUUACAAAGGUCGAACAUCCUACUAUGCAUAAAUUUAAUAUUAAUAUAAGCAGGUUUCGUGUUAAGUAUUACAUCUGACGUAUAAGCACACGUGUGUACGAGCCUUGGUUUUAAAUGUCUUAUAGUAGACACCGAAAAGAUUAUUCAGUUGGAUAUCUGACUCAACAUCAAUAUUUUACUAGGAGAUAACAUGUUAAGAACACGUUGGUGGAUGGCAUGGGAGAUGAUGAAUGAAGACAUACUUCUGUGAGAUACAUAAAAUAGUAGUCAGAACGUAUUUUGGCGCUUGGGGACAGCAACAGCUGGUGAUACUGUCAUACACCUCCAUUUAUAAACUUUCGAAAAUCGAUGUGACCUUCAAACUUUAGUGUAUUCUGUUUCACAGCACAAAAUGUUUCCGAAACGUACGUUUAUUGUUACAAUGAACUUGACUAAUGGCUCUGAAAUACUAUCCUUGAAAAAACAAUGGGGGAAUUGGAGCAAAAAAAAGAAGGAAAUAAACAAAGACCUUGUUGGUUCGUAAAAAUAAAAUAUGCUACAGGAAAAACUUUUUCCAACGGAUUGAGAUGCGACGAGCUUUAAAAGCUAUGACGCGAAUCGAGCGUUUGUCUACAAGAGCGCAUUUUCGGUGGAUAUAUAGAUAUACAUGUAUAUGUGACGAAAUAUACUAAAGCAAUAUUGACCCUUUGUCGCUGAAAGUAUCAAACUACAAAACUUCCUUUCAAAUUUUCAGAAUAAGGAAAUCAGGAUCAUGAUAAAUAAUUGGAACAUAAUUAAAAAUAAUAUAUCUUCUCUAUAAGAUAAUGAAUACAUUGGUUCAUUUAAUUUUUAUGGAUAUUCAAACGCUUCUGUGAAAUAAAACGUCAAGAUUAUAGAGUAUAAAAUUCAUAGCUAUGAAAUAACUAAAACUCUGAUGUAUUAUUAAAAAUAUACGUUAGGUUGUAUGUAGUGAUACAUACAAAGAUUACAUGUACAAACCCAUAAUUAACACAAUGCUACCGCAACCAUUCUGCAAUCUACCUUGCCCAAAACACUCUUCCAGUCACCUCCAAACUCUUCAAUUCUCUCCACCUAAUCACCCACAAACCAUUCACAAACAUGCAAUUCUCGACAAAAGAAGAACUUAUCGUCAGUUGUCCUUAACAUCUCGUUCAUUCAUUUGGUCCCUAUCCCCCUAUUUCCUCCCACUGUGAUGAUCGCACUACAUUUUUCCACAUUUUCUACAUUUUUCUCUAUUCUAUUCUCUGGAUGACCUGAAUUCUCGAGCAGUCGAGUGACGAUUGAUCUGUACAAUUGAUCGAUUUCUUUUUACUACAGCCAUGCAGAAAAUUUCGUCUUGGAAAACGAUGUUGUGAUUUCGAAUGCCUGGACCACGUAAAGAACAUUACCGGAAGUGGUAAAAUUUAUGUCCUUGAGUAUAAGAAAUCCUCCAGCUCCUCGACUCAGCGACAAACGCUACUCUGGGUGAUGAGCGUAAUGGUGCUAUUGCGGCUAGUUUAAUUUUUCAACAAGGAUCCAGAUGGCGCCGUUGACGGAAUUCUUUCGCUAUAAACGUCAACGAUCAACAUCAGCCAUCAGGAUCUUCCUUGUUGUUACGCCGCCUAAAACAUCUGCACGCCAGCCCGCGCCAGCUCGCACCACCGGACAACAACCAGCCUGCGUAACGUCACUUCGACCCUCAAUAAACCUAAGGACCCACCAUAACUUUCACUUCCCUGUAUUGUUUCGCCAUGUGUCUUCAAUCCGUUUGUCUAGAAGAAUUUCUAAAGCUUAAAAAUAUUCUCGAAACACAGUCGGUUUUUAGAGAGGUCCUUGGGUUUAUUAGACGUACUUAAAACACGGAGAAAGCGGGUAUGCACCCAUUAGGAAAAUCCGAAUAGCCCUCUAAUAAAACAAGCUAUGUUUUCCUCACGCACACAGUCAUCUAUCCACCACGAUGGUAGGAGACUUCCUACUCAUCCCUUCGAGCAGUAGUGCAGGUCAUGACCAAUCGACACCGCGGUUCGUUACCCUCACUUUUCCUAACGAAAGUGGGGACAACGAAUCCGCGUUCUUUAGGCACAGGGGCACACCCACACCGAACUUUUCUUCUGUAUUAGAAAAAGAGCGACAGUCAGUCUAAAAACUAACGCCUAACGCGGCAGUCUACACAUAGCGCGAGAGUCGCAUACUUCACGAAAAUCUUUUGUCGGUUCUCGGUGUUGUCGAACAUACAUCUUCUCUCCUAAAUAUAUUAUAGUGCUAAGUACAUUAAUACAUUAAUUUCCAUUAUAAGAUCCCUGCUCUAGCGUACAUAUCUAUCACAUCUUCGUGCGACAAGUUGUUAACUAUUUAUUUCUCUACGUCAGUGUAAUCUAAGUGUUGGAAAUAUAUAAUUUAUAAUUCAGUGAA